UGCAGCUGAGGUAGGGAAGUUUUUAAAGCCUCUUCAGGUGACUGUGAAGCAUAGAGCGUAUUACUGCUCAAGAGUUUCAGAGUCAGAAUCGAGUAAGUGACACAAGUCUCCAGUGAAUCUUCCCAGUGUUUCGGAAUCGAGUUGUCAUGUGGGAAGUAGUCCUAUGGAGAGGCCCAGGUGGCAAGAAACUGAUGUCUCCAGCUCUCAGCCAGCAAGGACCCGAGGCCCGCCGACACCCAGGCUAAAGGAAUUAAGAUACGACUGAAAAGAAGCUCCUCUUCAUAUUCAGAACUGCUAAUUCCCUCUAAAAAGGAGAGAAUUAAGAUCAAUGAAUACCAACAAUGGAGAAGACACCGCUUACAAUGUUGUAACAGUAAGUCAUCUAACCAUCUACUUGUAUCAUGUCUAGCAAACUUCAUUGUUCGAUCUUACUUGCUUUCUCCAAGACACCUGAAUUUUCCUGAAGCUUUCUUUCUUGACUUCAAUGACAUCUCCCAUGUUUCACCUUUAUUUUUCUAUUUCUAUGGUUCCCUUUUCAGUCUUCCCCAGACGCUGAGCUCUCCUUCUUCAAUCUAACCUGCCAAAUGGCAAUAUUUCUUAUGGCUCUGACUUAGGUACUUGUCUUCCGUAACACCUUGUGUGAAACAUUCAAAGCUUAAGAAAAAAAAAAAAAGUCCCUGCAUGAGGGUUUCCAGCAUCUGUAUUUUAGCAUCUUUCUUUUCUGGGCUCCAGAUCUACUUUGUUUGAUAGAAAGUUGAGUAUCUUCAUGUCAGCAUCCCACAGACACCUGCUAUAGCACACUCUAGCUAGAUCGAUCAUAACCUCUAUUCUUCUAGUAUUUGAUAUAUGAAGAUUAUAAAUGAAUUCUAGAGAUCAUAAAUAUCAUUAAUGAAUUCUACCAAUGCUAUUAAUCCCAAUUUCAAGCACCAAAUUAAAUCUGAUACCUUCCCAAGUUUGAGAAAAAAAGCUUCUGUAAUUAAAUAUUUCUAGGUACAGAUUCUUCUAUUAAGAUACAUAUAAUAAUGUAAACGUCUAAAUUUAUACAGUCCUCUUAAAGUUAUUUUAGAUGUUAGCUCAUUUAUCAUCAAUGACCUUGUGAUGUUGGAGAUGUAAAACUUUAGGCCCUCCUUUUGUUUGGUUGGAUGGAGGAAAUGAACAGAGAUAAGCACUUGAGAGAGACAAGUGACUUGCUCAAGGCCACCCACUAUGUCAGCCGGAAGGUCACCCAGGUUUCCCAACUUUCAAUCCAAUCCUUUUUGGUACACUAUGCUCUUGUUUAAAAGACGUUUCUAUUAAGAACAUGUGAAGCAUCUGUAUAUAAAUUUUACCAA